rnacentral:rRNA from 1 species
GAUGAACGCUGGCGGCGUGCCUAAUACAUGCAAGUCGAGCGAACGGACGAGAAGCUUGCGUCGCUGAUGUUAGCGGCGGACGGGUGAGUAACACGUGUAUAACCUACCUAUAAGUCUGGGAUAACUUCGGGAAACCGGCGCUAAUACCGGAGAAUAUUUUGAACCGCAGGGGUCAAAAGUGAAAGACGGUCGUUUUGGCGGUUGUAGAUGGAUCUGCGCUUCAUUAGCUAGUUGGUGGGGUAACGGCUUACCAAGGCAACGACGGGUAGCCGGCCUGGGAGGGUGACCGGCCACAUUGGGACUGAGAUACGGCCCAGACUCCUACGGUGGGCAGCAGUGGGGAAUAUUGCACAAUGGGCGGAAGCCUGAUGCAGAAACGCCGCGUGCGGGAUGACGGCCUUCGGGUUGUAAACCGCUUUCGCCUGUGACGAAGCGUGAGUGACGGUAAUGGGUAAAGAAGCACCGGCUAACUACGUG